GGCUCGAUGACGGACCCGGUCAGCCGGGUCUCGGCCUGCUACGCCGAGGGCCCCGAGAGCCCGCGGUCCGCGGCGUGCAAGGCCGCCGUCCAGGCC
rnacentral:tRNA from 1 species